CUGAAUCCUUCACCUGGGGCAUCCUACGCUGUCUCUGGGUAGACAGUGUCAGAAUUGAGUCGAAUUGUAGGACAACAGCUGGUGUGGGAGACUUGCUUGGGUGUGUGAGGGGAACACUUGCACGCGCGCGCGCGUGUGUGUGCGCGCACACACAGGUUGGAAAUUGGUGGCCAGAAUUGUUGGCUGGUGAUGAGAAGUUCAGAGUCAGAACACUCUAAGUCCUCUUGUUGAGUGCCUACUGUGUGCUAGGUUUUGGGAUUCCAAAGAUGAAUGAAGGAAGUCCUGCGUGGAGGAACACACGGUCUCCUGGGGAGGCGUGGGUGACAAUGACGCCAGCCAAGCAGACGUUGCUGCAAAGUGCGGUGAGGGCGGCACCAAGGAAUUUCAGAGGGAACAGCAAGGAUCAUAAAAUCUCUUCAGCUGACGGUCCCUGAAGGACUUCCUGGAGGAGGCUCCAGGAAGCCAUUGCAGGUGGAAGGGGCUGGCCCAAGGAAAAGAUACAUGGGGACCGUGGGAACAGAAGGCCUGCACUGGGCGGAGCUGGUCCUUGGAGCUGGGUGAGUCUGGAAUGCUGCAUGACCGCCGGGGCGGGUCGUCACCGGGCACGUUAACCCAGGUAGAAUGCGCUGUGGAGUGUCACCUGGCUCCAGGGACCGAAGAGGGAAGGAGACCCCAGAUCUGUUCAGGGAGCUAGGAGCGGCAGACCCCCUGCCAGGGAUUCUGCGUUUUCCAUCGAGGACAGGAAAAGCUCAGUUUGCUGAGAGGACCAGAUCUCUGGUAAAUGAGUGUGAGAAAGAGCCAUGGCAGGGGUCCCCCAGCAUCCGUGACAUCAGAUAGCAGUUAUUCUUCCAAGAUGCACCCCGGCCCGUGCCCUGGAGGGCAGAGUCCUGCUCAGCAGCCCGGCUGAGCUUAAAG
rnacentral:lncRNA from 1 species